UGUAUUAUUUGUUUUGUUUUGUUACUCGAUUUCCUAACAUUAUGGUUAUGGUUUUAUAAGUCAAUGAAAAAACUUGGUUUAGCAAUUUUUUGUGACCUGAUGAAAAAGAAAAAUUUUUUGCUGAACAGAAUGCAAAAUGGAUGACAAAUUUGACUACAAAAUCUCUCUGAUGUUCUAGUUGACAUGAAGUGCUUUCUCUUGAUCCUGAUCAAGCCUUCGUGUCAAACCUUGUUGUCAUGGCAACUGUAUCUGUGGUGACUAACACGUGCAUGUUGCUUUCCUUAUAUAGGCAUGUGUAAGACCAACUUGGACAGCAACAACUUGGCAUGCCAUGAUGGCUGGAUCUUCUGUAAAAAGUGUUAUGCCCGACAGUUUGGUCCCAAAGGGUGCGGCUUUGGCGCGGGGGCAGGGGCACUCCAUACAGAUGAUGGGGCCCAGUUCUCAGGGUCCCGUAACCAAGGUGGAAUGGGCUCUAACUUCUAAUUAGAAUGACAUAGCCUUACAUAACACUGGCAGAUACACCAAGGCUCAAUUUUCCUACUUUUGUGAAUGAUUUAACAACUUGCAGAAAAAAAACUUAGACCAAGAUGAAGCAUCAUGCACAGUGGUUAUAGUGAAUUUCGUCUGUUUUGCAGAGAAGUUGAAAUAGUGUUGCAGAUAUGCUAAAAAAAAAAGAAGCAUCGAUCAAGUAGUUGGAGGUUGACAGUGAAGGAGGAGCAUGUAUUUCGACUCUUGUCUUACCACUUGCCAGCAUGAUGUAGUUAAUUAUUGGACUAUCCUGUGGCAGCAAUAUUUGUACAUACUAAUAUUUCCCACUUCCUUCUACAGGGAGUAGCUUUUAGACCAACUGGAACUAAUAAGAAUAAAAGAUUUUAUUGUCUUAAUUACAGAAAUUAUCUUUAAGAGUCAUAUCUGAUAAUUAUAAAAUACAAGCUGAAAUACUUUCAUAUCGUUAUUGUGUGGCCAACCUAUGAGCCAACUACCAAGCUAAAGAACUUUUUUGCAUGCCUUUAAGAGUCAUUUAAAUAUUUCUAGAUGCUUGCCUUUUAUGAGUACAAGUCUGUUGUGAAGCAUUUUUCUCAUAUUGAGGAAAGGAUUUCAUAAAACUAAUUAAGAUCAUAAUUUUGACCCAAUUUUUAUGAAACUAUCUCUUCUAAUUUUGAGAAUAGGGGUUAUCAAGAUGCCAAAUGAUGAAAUGUCAAAAACACCUUUUCCUGAUCAUGUGAAAGUGUUAUUUUAUAUCUCACAACUUACUGUUUUAUUUUUCUACAUAUACUUUGUGUAAAUGAGGAUAAUAAUUCAUCAAUAUGAUUGUCAUGACCAGUCUUAUUUUUUAAAUAAUCCUUAAAUUUUUCUGUAACAGCAUAUCUUGCAAGUUAAAAAGGGGCAAACUGUAAUGUAUUCUACAAUUUUUAAAAAAGUUAGUUAUGAAAUUAUCUGGACUGUAGUUUUUCUCUUAAGUUGGCAUCCAUGAUAUGACAUGUUUUUGAAAUCAAUAAAGGUAGACUCUUUAA